GACGAAACGCUGGCGGCGUGGAUUAGGCAUGCAAGUCGAACGGUAUCAUCCUUUCGGGGGUGAGAGAGUGGCGAACUGGUGAGUAACACGUAGGUUAUCUACCCUCAAGACGGGGACAACCCAGGGAAACUUGGGCUAAUACCGGAUGUGAGCAACUUUUAGUUGUUUGAAAGGUGGCGUAAGCUGUCGCUUGGGGAUGAGCCUGCGUCCUAUUAGUUAGUUGGUGAGGUAACGGCUCACCUAGGCAAUGAUAGGUAGGCGGCCUUAACGGGUGGUCGCCCACACUGGGAUUGAGAUACGGCCCAGACUCCUACGGGAGGCAGCAGUCGAGAAUAGUCUACAAUGGUCGGAAGACUGAUAGUGCGACGCCGCGUGAACGAUGAAUCCCUUCGGGGUGUAAAGUUCUUUUAUAUGUGAGCAGUGCUUCUUAUAUUAACAGUAUGGGGAGAGAGAUAUUAGCAUAUGAAUAAGCAACGGCUAACUCCGUGCCAGCCCGCCGCGGUAAACUGU
rnacentral:rRNA from 1 species